rnacentral:rRNA from 1 species
UGCAGGAGCCCUAUCACCCUGAAGCUCAGCAGGUGUGAGCCUGGUCAGUACCUGGAUGGGAGACCUCCUGGGAAAGCUAAGGUUGGUGCUGGAA